rnacentral:rRNA from 1 species
AUACGGAGGGUGCAAGCGUUACUCGGAAUCACUGGGCGUAAAGCGCGCGCAGGCGGCUAUUUAAGUUGGAUGUGAAAGCCUACGGCUCAACCGUAGAACUGCAUCCAAAACUAUUUAGCUAGAGUGUGGGAGAGGAAGAUGGAAUUAGUUGUGUAGGGGUAAAAUCCGUAGAGAUAACUAGGAAUACCAAAAGCGAAGGCAAUCUUCUGGAACACUACUGACGCUGAGGCGCGAAGGCGUGGGGAGCAAACAGGAUUAGAAACCCCGGUAGUCC